AGGAAUAUUGGUCAAUGGGCGUAAGCCUGAACCAGCCAAGUCGCGUGAGGGAGGACGGCCCUACGGGUUGUAAACCUCUUUUGCCGGGGGACAAACGGCGGCACGCGUGCCGUCCUGAGGGUACCCGGAGAAAAAGCCUCGGCUAACUCCGUGCCAGCAGCCGCGGUAAUACGGAGGAUGCGAGCGUUAUCCGGAUUUAUUGGGUUUAAAGGGAGCGUAGGCGGGUUGUUAAGUCAGUUGUGAAAGUUUGCGGCUCAACCGUAAAAUUGCAGUUGAUACUGGCAUCCUUGAGUACAGUAGAGGUAGGCGGAAUUCGUGGUGUAGCGGUGAAAUGCUUAGAUAUCACGAAGAACUCCGAUUGCGAAGGCAGCCUGCUGGACUGUAACUGACGCUGAUGCUCGAAAGUGUGGGUAUCAAACAG
rnacentral:rRNA from 1 species